rnacentral:rRNA from 1 species
AAUGCCGCGUGUGUGAAGAAGGCCUGCGGGUUGUAAAGCACUUUCAGUAGCGAAGAAAGCCGGCGGCUAAUAACCGACCGGUCUUGACGUAACCUACAGAAGAAGCACCGGCUAACUCCGUGCCAGCAACUUCGGUGACUGAGCGGGCUGGCAAGGCGCAUA